UAUACCUACGGGGCGCAGCAGUCGGGAAUAUUGCGCAAUGGAGGAAACUCUGACGCAGUGACGCCGCGUGCAGGAAGAAGGUUUUCGGAUUGUAAACUGCUUUAGACAGGGAAGAAACAAGACAGUACCUGUAGAAUAAGCUCCGGCUAACUACGUGCCAGCAGCCGCGGUAAUACGUAGGGAGCAAGCGUUAUCCGGAUUUAUUGGGUGUAAAGGGUGCGUAGACGGGAAAACAAGUUGGUUGUGAAAUCCCUCGGCCUAACUGAGGAACUGCAACCAAAACUAUUUUUCUUGAGUGCUGGAGG
rnacentral:rRNA from 1 species